rnacentral:rRNA from 1 species
CCUACGGGUGGCAGCAGUGGGGAAUAUUGGACAAUGGGGGCAACCCUGAUCCAGCCAUGCCGCGUGUGUGAAGAAGGCCCUCGGGUUGUAAAGCACUUUCAGUGAGGAAGAACGCCUGGUGGUUAAUACCCAUCAGGAAAGACAUCACUCACAGAAGAAGCACCGGCUAACUCCGUGCCAGCAGCCGCGGUAAUACGGAGGGUGCCAGCGUUAAUCGGAAUUACUGGGCGUAAAGCGCGCGUAGGUGGCUUGAUAAGCCGGUUGUGAAAGCCCCGGGCUCAACCUGGGAACGGCAUCCGGAACUGUCAAGCUAGAGUGCAGGAGAGGAAGGUAGAAUUCCCGGUGUAGCGGUGAAAUGCGUAGAGAUCGGGAGGAAUACCAGUGGCGAAGGCGGCCUUCUGGACUGACACUGACACUGAGGUGCGAAAGCGUGGGUAGCAAACAGGAUUAGAUACCCGAGUAGUC